rnacentral:misc_RNA from 1 species
GAAAUGCGAUAAGUAGUGUGAAUUGCAGAAUUCAGUGAAUCAUCGAAUCUUUGAACGCACAUUGCGCCCCUUGGUAUUCCAUGGGGCAUGCCUGUUCGAGCGUCAUUUGUACCCUCAAGCUCUGCUUGGUGUUGGGUGUUUGUCCCGUCUCCGCGCGUGGACUCGCCCCAAAGUGAUUGGCAGCCGGCGUACUGGUCCCGGAGCGCAGCACAUGUCGCGCAAACGAGUGCCGUGGUACGGCGGCGUCCAUAAGCCCCUCUCUCACGCUCUUGACCUCGGAUCAGGUAGGGAUACCCGCUGAACUUAAGC